CGGGUCGGCUGAGAUUUGUAGAUGAAUGGUUACUGACGACGACGGAAACUGGUUGGUGUCUGCGUGAGUGCGAUAAGGAGUACUCUGUAUCAAGAAUCUUAAUUUCGUCAUUGUUGAAGAAUGUGUUAUUGCUGGAUGACUCCAUUACAUUCAGAUCUAACUUCCGCGAUGACAACCUCCAAGAAAACCUAUCAGAAUUAGGGAAAUAGGAUUCUGAGAACAAUCAGAAUCAGGGGCCUGUUUAUUGCACUCAACACUGAUUUUCACAAGCUAGCUGUACACAAAGAUACCCACAUUCAUUGACAUCUCAAAAUUCACACAUAUGUGUGUGUGAAAAAGGGUUGCAGAAGAAAACAAACCAACUGUGGAUUUGAUCAAGAUUGAGUGAGAAGAUGGGAGUGUACAAAGAUACAACAGACAGUCCCAAAGCUCGAGGAAGCUUAUGAUGCAAUGAAAGUUCGGAUGGCUCACAAGGGCAUUCUUGUCAUUUCAGCAUUCUUGACGAUAAUACCAUGCAAUAUAAUGCAUUGAAAGAGUUGGUGAGGAUCAAUAAUUACAAUCCAAAUUUUACUGUCGAAAUAUUUUACAAUUAAUAUUUUUGUAAAUAUAUAUAUAUAUUAUAUAAUUUUGGUUAGUUACAGAAAUUUUCAUUUUUG